UGGGGAAUUUUGGACAAUGGGCGCAAGCCUGAUCCAGCAAUGCCGCGUGCAGGAUGAAGGCCUUCGGGUUGUAAACUGCUUUUGUACGGAACGAAACGGCUCUGUCUAAUACAUGGGGCUAAUGACGGUACCGUAAGAAUAAGCACCGGCUAACUACGUGCCAGCAGCCGCGGUAAUACGUAGGGUGCGAGCGUUAAUCGGAAUUACUGGGCGUAAAGCGUGCGCAGGCGGUUAUGUAAGACAGAGGUGAAAUCCCCGGGCUCAACCUGGGAACUGCCUUUGUGACUGCAAGGCUUGAGUGCGGCAGAGGGGGAUGGAAUUCCGCGUGUAGCAGUGAAAUGCGUAGAUAUGCUGAGGAACACCGACGGCGAAGGCAAUCCCCUGGGCCUGCACUGACGCUCAUGCACGAAAGCGUGGGGAGCAAACA
rnacentral:rRNA from 1 species